UACGGGGGGGGCAAGCGUUGUUCGGAAUUACUGGGCGUAAAGGGUUCGUAGGUGGCCAACUAAGUCAGACGUGAAAUCCCUCAGCUUAACUGGGGAACUGCGUCUGAGACUGGAUGGCUUGAGUGCAGGAGAGGAACGCGGAAUUCCAGGUGUAGCGGUGAAAUGCGUAGAUAUCAGGAGGAACAUCGAUGGCGAAGGCAGCCCCUUGGACCUGUACUGACGCUCAUGCACGAAAGCGUGGGGAGCAAACAGG
rnacentral:rRNA from 1 species